rnacentral:lncRNA from 1 species
UGGCAUGAUCACAGCUCACUGAAACCUGGAACUCCUGGAUUCAAGCAAUCCUCCCAUCUUAGCCUCCCAAGUAGCUGGGACUACAGGCACGUGCCACCAUGCUCAGAUGUGUUUUUUGUUGUUGUUGCUGUUGUUGUUGUAGAAAUGAGGUCUUGCUAAGCUGCCCAGGUUGGUCUCGAACUCCUGGGCUCAAGAGAUCUUCCUGCCUCACCUCCCACAGUGCUGGGAUUAGAGGCAUGAGCCAUCACUCGCAGCCAGGUUCCAACUUUUUC